rnacentral:rRNA from 1 species
UACGAAGGGGGCUAGCGUUGUUCGGAAUUACUGGGCGUAAAGCGCGUGUAGGCGGGUCUUUAAGUCAGAUGUGAAAGCCCCGGGCUCAACCUGGGAAUUGCAUUUGAGACUGCGUAGCUAGGGUGCGGAAGAGGGAAGCGGAAUUUCCGGGUGUAGCGGUGAAAUGCGUAGAUAUCGGAAGGAACACCAGUGGCGAAAGCGGCUUCCUGGUCCAGCACCGACGUUCAGGCACGAAAGCGUGGGGAGCAAACAGG